CAGGACUCUGCACAGUCUACACUGGGAUUCAACACUCAUCAAUUUUUUUUAUUUUUUUAUUUAUUUAUUUUUUUUAAACCACAUUUGUUACACGCUAGUGAAGACUACAUUGGUCCAGAUAUCACUGAAGAUAACGCACUUGGUUGUAUGUGGAAUUCUUAAAUGUUUCUGGUCACUUUGUAACCUGGUAUUUUACAACUUGCAAAGUGUAUUCUUAAUGUGUGGGGUAUUUUGUCUUUAGAGUGUUGCUAUUGGCUGAUCUCUCAGCCUGCCAUUGGCUUGCAUGAGUCCUCUAACUCUGCUAUAAACAGUUUAGUCAGCUAAACAUACUAUAUCAAAGACCAUGUGACCUCAAAUGGAAAUUAUCCUAAUCUAGCACUUUAAAAAGAUGCCUUUUG